rnacentral:piRNA from 1 species
AGAAAGAGGUGUGGAUAAGAACUA